rnacentral:ncRNA from 1 species
UCGGGAGAGGUUCAUAGCGACCCUCUAUAAAAAACUAUGGAUGA